UGGCCGACCGAACAGAAUCGGACCCCCCCCCCCCCCCCGGGGAUGAAUUUUUGAGACCUUGUACCAGGAAUUUGAUGGGAAAGGAGGCCCUUCCCUCCUUGUAACCUCCGGGCGUUUAUUGCGGAUCAAAUUCUUGGUUCCUUUUGUUUCACUGGGAAUUUUGUUUGGCCGGCGUUGCUCUGUUUAUCUUGGCCGGCGUGUGGCAGUUUGGCGUGGUGUUUCAGCAGCACCUGGAGAUCGAGUUCUGUAGGGAGGAGUUUUCUUGUUGGUUUGCUGGUCAGGCGCUUGGGGAAGCGCACGGCGCGCGCUGCCCUCAGGGCUGGGCGGUGGCCACCGCAGCGGCCGGCAGCAGCCCUGCUACCUUGGCCUGCGCGUGGCCCUGGGCGGUCUGCUGCUUGGAGCAGCAGCAGGCGGCCUACCGACCAGUGCCGCAGGUGGCCGCAGCGGCUUGCAGCAGCGCCGGCUGGGCAGCAGAGCCAGCAGCAGCACAAGCAAGAUCAGGGGCACAGCAAGCCAGCGACAGCAGAAGCACCACCACCGCUACGCAGACAAGGUGCUCGAUAGUUUGCACCAGCUGGUCGAGAAACAAGGGCGUUCCGCACAGGCGGCGACGUUGUAGUGCGUACCUCGUCGAUCAGCAAGGGAGAAGGCGACCGCGGCGAAGCGAAAGGGCGGCGGCGGGGGACGGUGAGGCUGACCGCGAACAAAUGGAAGCCACCGCGGCGCUGCAGUAGCGCCUCCCUUCCUCCCCCGCGGUGCUCUCCGCAGACGCCGGUACCGAGACGGGAUCCAUUCCGCCGCCCUCGCCGCGCCGCCGCGGCAUUUGUAGUCGUGCAGCGCGGCGCGGAUUGCCGCCGAAUCGGAAAACCAAGUGGCCGUGGUUUGCGGAAACUCGCAAGUACGCCUUAGGCCAAGGAAUACGGUCUCUGGCGGCUGUCCAGUGGAGGAAAAUGAAGGAAGGAAACAAAUGGUUGGGCCAACCCUGUAGGGCCUGGUUCCCGUGGGCUCCGAGUCUGGACUUCGUUUGAACCCAAUUAAGUCGAAGGGCGUCACUCUUGCAAUCAAAGCCCAGCUCCCGCUCAAAAUCUGAGAAGACUACGAUGCAGGCAAUUCUUUUCUGCUGGAAAGCUUUGAACAUGUGUUGUAGAACAUCAUCUUUUUGCAUUCUGACAUUGGUCAAUUCGAUUUGAUAGUAUGUAUUUUGAUAGUGCAUUUUCUCAUAAACUUGGUCCAAGUCAUUUUGCAACGAAGGUCGCAGUGCUAUCUGAAACAUACAUGUUGCUUUUUCUGGGUGUACUGUACUGCCUGCCAUAUACACUUGUUCCUUUCGCAGAUAUCGUGAUGCUAAGAACCAUAUCGAAAGCAA